AGAAGAAAAAACAAAUUAGUGCCUGAGGCCGAGCGCUUCCCUCUUUAGUGAGGGGUGGCGUGGUAUACCACGAGAAGGGAUUACUGUGGCGUACCCUAAGGGGUGCGUAGGCGCAUAUCAGAGAAUCAGGGCUCUUUCUCUGCUUUGCUGUUUCCUUUAAGCUUUAGGCUGUCAAAGCAGAGACGUUCUUUGCCCUACAUUUUUUGUUUUUCGAUCUCAAUCUUUGGUUUUGAAUUCUUCAGAUUAUUUUUGGUUCUUUUACGAGUCUUUUGAUGUUGAUGAUU
rnacentral:sRNA from 1 species